AGAUUGAACGCUGGCGGCAGGCCUAACACAUGCAAGUCGAGCGGUAGAGAGGUGCUUGCAUCUCUUGAGAGCGGCGGACGGGUGAGUAAUGCCUAGGAAUCUGCCUAGUGGUGGGGGAUAACGUUCGGAAACGGACGCUAAUACCGCAUACGUCCUACGGGAGAAAGCGGGGGACCUUCGGGCCUCGCGCCAUUAGAUGAGCCUAGGUCGGAUUAGCUAGUUGGUGAGGUAAUGGCUCACCAAGGCGACGAUCCGUAACUGGUCUGAGAGGAUGAUCAGUCACACUGGAACUGAGACACGGUCCAGACUCCUACGGGAGGCAGCAGUGGGGAAUAUUGGACAAAUGGGCGAAAAGCCCGAUCCAGCCAUGCCGCGUGUGUGAAAGAAAGGUCUUCGGAUUGUAAAAGCAACUUUUAAGUUGGAGGAAGGUUUGUAAACCUAAUACGUUGACAACUUUGAACGUUACGACAAGAAAUAAAGCAACCGGCUAAACUUCGUCGCCAGCAGCCGA
rnacentral:rRNA from 1 species